rnacentral:tRNA from 1 species
AAAAAGAUAAGCUAACAAAGCUAACGGGUUCAUACCCCGUCUAUGAAAUCUUCCAAAUUUCUCUUUUUA